rnacentral:rRNA from 1 species
GAUGAACGCUGGCGGCGUGCCUAAUACAUGCAAGUCGAGCGAACAGAUGAGGAGCUUGCUCCUCUGACGUUAGCGGCGGACGGGUGAGUAACACGUGGAUAACCUACCUAUAAGACUGGGAUAACUUCGGGAAACCGGAGCUAAUACCGGAUAAUAUAUUGAACCGCAUGGUUCAAUAGUGAAAGACGGUUUUGCUGUCACUUAUAGAUGGAUCCGCGCCGCAUUAGCUAGUUGGUAAGGUAACGGCUUACCAAGGCAACGAUGCGUAGCCGACCUGAGAGGGUGAUCGGCCACACUGGAACUGAGACACGGUCCAGAAUCCUACGGGAGGCAGCAGUAGGGAAUCUGCCGCAAUGGGCGAAAGCCUGACGGAGCAACGCCGCGUGAGUGAUGAAGGUCUUCGGAUCGUAAAACUCUGUUAUUAGGGAAGAACAAAUGUGUAAGUAACUAUGCACGUCUUGACGGUACCUAAUCAGAAAGCCACGGCUAAC